rnacentral:rRNA from 1 species
AUUGAACGCUGGCGGCAUGCCUUACACAUGCAAGUCGAACGGCAGCGCGGGGCAACCUGGCGGCGAGUGGCGAACGGGUGAGUAAUAUAUCGGAACAUACCCUAGAGUGGGGAUAACGUAGCGAAAGUUACGCUAAUACCGCAUACGCACUAAGGUGGAAAGUGGGGGAUUCGCAAGAACCUCAUGCUCAUGGAGUGGCCGAUAUCUGAUUAGCUAGUUGGUGAGGUAAAGGCUCACCAAGGCAACGAUCAGUAGCUGGUUUGAGAGAACGACCAGCCACACUGGAACUGAGACACGGUCCAGACUCCUACGGGAGGCAGCAGUGGGGAAUUUUGGGACAAUGGGGGCAACCCUGAUCCAGCAAUGCCGCGUGAGUGAAGAAGGCCUCGGUUGUAAAGGUACUCUUUUGUUCAGGGAAGAAACGGUAGAGAGCC